GACGAACGCUGGCGGCGUGCCUAAUACAUGCAAGUCGAACGCAGUGGGGACGGGUGCGUCACACGUGGGUAACCUCCCAUCAAAGGGGGUAACACUUGGAAACAGGUGCUAAACCGAUACUGAUGGAUGUACCCGCGGUGCAUUAGCUAGUUGGUGGGGUAACGGCUCACCAAGGCCACGAUGCAUAGCGGGCCGGAGAGGAUGACCGGCCACACUGGGACUGAGACACGGCCCAGACUCCUACGGGAGGCAGCAGUGGGGAAUCUUCGGCAAUGGGCGCAAGCCUGACCGAGCAACGCCGCGUGUGUGAAGAUGGUUUUCGGAUCGUAAAACUCUGUCGUUAGGGAAGCGUUAUCUAAACAGAAAGCCACGGCUAACUACGUGCCAGCAGCCGCGGUAAUUC
rnacentral:rRNA from 1 species